rnacentral:rRNA from 1 species
GACGAACGCUGGCGGCGUGCUUAACACAUGCAAGUCGAACGGACAGGCCCUGCUCUUGUGGGGUUCUCGUUUGGGGAGCGGGGGAGUAACACGCGAGUAAACUGCCCUUGUCUUUGGGAGAACUUCAGGGAACUGGGGCUCAUACAGGAGAUAAGCUCCUGCUGCGCGUGGUGGGUUGGAGAGUGUCGGCGGUGGGGGAUGGACUCGCGGCUUAUCCGCUGGUUGGUGGGGUAGUGGCUUACCAAGGCUUUGACGGGUAGCCGGCCUGGGAGCCUGACCGGCCACAUUGGGACUGAGAUACGCCCCAGACUCCUACGGGAGGCAGCAGUGGGGAAUCUUGCACAAUGGGCGGAAGCCUGAUGCAGCAACGCCGGGUGCGGGAUGACGGCCUUCGGGUUGUAAACCGCUUUCGCCUGUGACGAAGCGUGAGUGACGGUAAUGGGUAAAGAAGCACCGGCUAACUACGUG